CGACCUUCCCAGGUAGUGCCGCCGACCCCAUACAUUUAUUAAUGCGCAAGCAGAACGUAUUAUAAAACCCCUGACAAUAAAACACGAGAUAGAAAAGUAGGAAGCAAAACCACAACAUAACACUUCCCUAAUUCAACAGGAUUACAAACAGAGGUCUACGGCCAAAAGUCUACAAAAGACCGGCUCUUAAAAAUGAAUUGUACUACGACCUACAAGUCGGACACGACCUCCAAUCUUAUGACUUCACCUCUGCAACUCCUCAAGGCCAACCAAAGCUAUCUGGUCACUCCGUCCACCAGGGACCUGAAAUUUUAAUCCCACAACCGGGAUGAGACGAUGUCUCAGCAAGUUCAACCCCCUAAACCCCUAUUAGAAAGAAAUUACGCCCCGGGUGGCCUAGCCACAUCACACUGAAGACUUACCUCGCCUCAGCCUUCAUCUGCAGGUUAGCACCAUUUAUAUAAUUCAACCACGUACAAUUAUGAUAACCAAACAACCAUGGCACAAUCACAUUAUCAAAACAAUUCAACCACUUGGAUCGUCUCAGCGAUCAAUCGACUUGGCCGAUUACAUGUCAUUCUAGCAAAUCAAUCAUUGCUCUCAAUCCCGACCCUAUAGGAAGGUUUAACAAACAGUGGCAAUCACGGCUCCACUCGGCACGACCUUUAAUUAGGUGGUCCAUCACGGCCUCACUGGGCACGACCUCUCAUAGGUGGUCCAUCCUGGCCUCACUGGGCACGACCUCUCAUAGGUGGUCCAUCACGGCCUCACUAGGCACGACCUCUAAUAGGUGGUCAAUCACGGCCCCAUUAGGCACGACCUCUCUUAGGUGGUUCAUCGCGGCCCUAUUAGGCACGACCUCUCGUAGGUGGUUCAUCACGGCCUCACUAGGCACAACCUCCAAUCGGUGGUUAAUCACGGCCUCACUAGGCACGACCUCUAAUAGGUGGUUAAUCACGGCCAAUCUCCCAUCAAUUCCCACACUUAGGGUUUUCUAAAGAAUCCUCAUAAAUCGCAAUCACACUCAAUUCACCACAACCAAUCAUCAAUUUCAAAUUCUACAUGCACAGCAGCGAUCGGCACGAAAUUCUGAGAGUUUAGGGUCCUGACAAAAUUUUCGGAAUUUAUUAAAUAAUUAAAUUUAUUCCGAAAAUAAUUUAAUAAUAAUAUUCAUAUUUUUCACGAUCCAUACUCAAUUUAUAAUGUCCAAUCAUAAAUUUCAAAAUCCGACUACACAGCAACGACCGACACGAAAUUCUGAGAAUUUAAGGUCUCGACAAAAUUUUCGGAAUUUAAUAAAUAAUUAAAUUUAUUCCGAAAAUAAUUAAAUAAUAAUAAUUUAUUAAUUUCGAAUAAAAUAUAUUAUUAAAUUAUAUAAUCAUUUCGAGACAUUUAAAUAAAUCAAAAGUAAAUUCAUUUAUGUCAAAUCAAGGCUUAUUUUAAAUAAACCUACUUACCCUUAAUCAAGCACACUUUAAAUUAAACCACAACCUUAAUCAAAUCUACUCUUAAUUAACCUAAACUAACAACCUAAUAAUACUUAACAUAAACUAAACCUCCCUAAGCAUAAUUAACCCUCUAAGCGAGGUUUAGUGAGUUAAACUCACCGGAUUAGCGAACCGAGCGGACCAAAACGACGGAGACGACGCGAGGAUCGACUUUCCUCAAAGCGGGCCGAGCAUCCGGGCUCGGGAAGGCGGCCGAAACGGGCCAAGAAGUGGCUGCCAUACCCAUUUUUCCAGCCACUGAUUUGGGGCCGAGAUGGGCGGAUCCGGCGCCGGUUCGGGCGGAGGAACGGCGGAGGAGAGGGGCGGCAGCUCGAGCGGGCAAGGAGGCGUUGG
rnacentral:lncRNA from 1 species